rnacentral:rRNA from 1 species
UACGGAGGAUCCGAGCGUUAUCCGGAUUUAUUGGGUUUAAAGGGUGCGUAGGCGGUUUGAUAAGUUAGAGGUGAAAUGUCGGGGCUCAACCCCGAAACUGCCUCUAAUACUGUUGGACUAGAGAAUAGUUGCGGUAGGCGGAAUGUAUGGUGUAGCGGUGAAAUGCUUAGAGAUCAUACAGAACACCGAUUGCGAAGGCAGCUUACCAAACUAUAUCUGACGUUAAGGCACGAAAGCGUGGGUAGCAAACAGG